AACGCACAUUGCGCCCUUCGGUAUUCCGUUGGGCAUGCCUGUUCGAGCGUCAUUAGAAACUUCAAGCUCAGCUUGGUGUUGGGUGCUUGUCCCCGCCCGCGGCGGACUCACCUCAAAUGCAUUGGCGGCCGGUAUGUUGGCUACAGCGCAGUACAACGCGUCUGGCGUCUUGAUAUACUGGUCCUCCAGAAGCCCCUUCUUUGACUUGACCUCGGAUCAGGUAGGGAUACCCGCUGAACUUAA
rnacentral:misc_RNA from 1 species